rnacentral:rRNA from 1 species
UACGGAGGGUGCAAGCGUUAUCCGGAUUUACUGGGUUUAAAGGGUGCGUAGGUGGGUAGGUAAGUCAGUGGUGAAAUCUUCAAGCUUAACUUGGAAACUGCCAUUGAUACUAUUUAUCUUGAAUACUUUGGAGGUAAGCAGAAUAUGUCAUGUAGCGGUGAAAUGCUUAGAUAUGACAUAGAACACCAAUUGCGAAGGCAGCUUACUACACAGUAAUUGACACUGAGGCACGAAAGCGUGGGGAUCAAACAGG